rnacentral:rRNA from 1 species
UACAGAGGUCUCAAGCGUUUGUUCGGAUUCAUUGGGCGUAAAGGGUGUGUAGGUGGCGCUGUAAGUCGGGUGUGAAAUCUCGGGGCUUAACUCCGAAACUGCAUUCGAUACUGCGGUGCUUGAGGACUGGAGAGGAGACUGGAAUUCAUGGUGUAGCAGUGAAAUGCGUAGAGAUCAUGAGGAAGACCAGUGGCGAAGGCGGGUCUCUGGGCCACUACUGACGCUGAGAAGCGAAAGCAUGGGGGAGCGAACAGG